UCCUUGGUGGCUCAGAGGUUAAAGCAUCUGCCUGCAAUGUGGGAGACCCGGGUUCGAUCCCUGGUUUGGGAA
rnacentral:tRNA from 1 species